GUAGCUUGCUAUAGUAUAACUUAGUGGCAGACGGGUGAGUAAUGUAUAGGAAUCUACCUAGUAGUACGGGACAAUUGCUGGAAACGGCAACUAAUACCGUAUACGCCCUACGGGGAAGAUUUAUUGCUAUUAGAUGAGCCUAUAUUAGAUUAGCUAGUUGGUAGGUAAAAGCUUACCAAGGCAAUGAUCUAUAGCUGAUCUGAGAGGAUGAUCAGCCACACUGGAACUGAGAUACGGUCCAG
rnacentral:rRNA from 1 species